rnacentral:misc_RNA from 1 species
GGAAGGAUCAUUGAAUCAAUCAAACCACACCGUGAACCGUCUUGUCUCCCCCUGUGGUGCCCCUCACCGGGCGCUCUGGGCGGUUAGGCCCUCGGGCUUAGCCGGGCGCGGCACCCCGCUUCGCGGCGGGUCGGCGCGUCGGCGCUUUCAAUACACUCCACACAAAAACAACGUCUAAAGCUACUUAGAAUUGGCACCGCCGACUCUAACAACCAAAGACAACUCUCAACAACGGAUAUCUUGGCUCUUGCAACGAUGAAGAACGCAGCGAAAUGCGAUACGUAGUGUGAAUUGCAGAAUUCCGUGAACCAUCGAAUCUUUGAACGCAUAUUGCGCUCGAGGCCUCGGCCAAGAGCACGCCUGCCUCAGAGUCGGUUAAACCCCUCACUCCCCCCUCCCCCUUUGCAAAAAGGGGCCGGGCGGGCGGUGGAACUGGCGGUCUCAGCGCCUCGCGCUGGGUCCGCUGAAGCAUAGAGACUCGGCCGGGACCCACACAUGGGCAAACACUAGGUAGGUAGCCCUCGGGUUAUUCCUGUGGAUGUCCGUGGCCCGGGCGUGGUCCUUCAGCAGGAAAACAACUUAACCAUUCGACCUGAGUUCAGACGAGAACACCCGCUGAACUUAAGCAUAUCAAUAAGCGGAGGAAAAGAAACUAACUAGGAUUCCCUUAGUAACGGCGAGUGAAAAGGGAAAAGCCCAACUUGAAAAUCUGCAGGCCCCGCCUGUCGAAUUGUAGUCUAUAGAAGCAACCUCUGAGGCGAGCCUGGGUCAAGUUCCCUGGAAGGGGACGUCAGAGAGGGUGAGAACCCCGUCACCCAGCGCUUUAGCCUCUCCACGAGAUGCUUUCACCGAGUCGGGUUGGUUGGGAAUCCAGCCCUAAUUGGGAGGUACAUCCCUCCUAAGGCUAAAUACCGGCAAGAGACCGAUAGCGAACAAGUACCGCGAGGGAAAGAUGAAAAGACCUUUGAAAAGAGAGUUAAAAAGUGCUUGAAAUUGUUGAGGGGGAAUUGUAUCAAAGGCGUGGGUGCGCCUAGGCUGUAUGUCGACUCUAACCGGUCGGCCCCUCAGUGCUAGGCGCUGGUCAGCAUGGAUUAGCUUAGCGGGACAAAAGCGGGGGUUGCUACUCCGCCUAUGCCGCUUCGCUGAUCGAGGAUUAAGAGCGCUUUGCCUUCGGAGCUGCGUUCUCAUGAUGCUGGCGGAAGCCUUUGAUACAGCCCGUCUUGAAACACGGACCAAGGAGUCUAACAUGUAUGCGAGUUGGUGGGUGGAAAACCCAUGAAGCGUAAGGAAACUAACUGGUGGGAUGGCCUGUGCCUGCACCAUCGACCGACCAUGAUCUUCUGUGAAAGGUUUGAGUACGAGCAUACCUGUUGGGACCCGAAAGAUGGUGAACUAUGCCUGAGCAGGGCGAAGCCAGAGGAAACUCUGGUGGAGGCUCGUAGAUGUGCUGACGUGCAAAUCGCUUUUCGGACUUGGGUAUAGGGGCGAAAGACUAAUCGAACCAUCUAGUAGCUGGUUCCCUC